rnacentral:lncRNA from 10 species
GGCAAAGGACAACUCCACAAUAGCUACGCGAGGAAGAAACCACACCAAACUCACCAGCGCCGCCAUCUUCGCAAAGCCCACCCCUUCCGGUGUCGUACUUCCUGAGCGCUAAGGGCGACUUGAUAGAUUUGAUAGACAACUGCCGCUUGCAAAUCUAAGCCAAUACGAAUAAGGGCUUUCUCACUUCCGCCCCCAACAGGAUAAACGAGAGGAGGAGUCUGAUCUGGCCAAUGGAAUAAAGGAACUGGCUAAAUUCGUCAGACUCAGAAAGAGUCGUCAGGACGAAAAAAAGCACUUGGCAAAGAGCGUGUGAUUGGUAGACUGAGUAAAAUGAUUGACGGCAAGCCAAUAAGAGACAGUCAAAUAAUUGAUUGACAGUUGGAAGGACCAAUAGAAAAAAGGAAUUAGCAGAGCGAACUUAGCGCGUAUUGGCUCCCGUCUGCCGCAGCACCCAGAGUCUUUUUUCACGGCACUUUUCUUGUAGUGCGUGAACCGGCCGCUAGGUGAUGGGCCUUGGCUUGGCUUUGCGGUGUCGACAUUGCAGAGCCGCCAUUGCUGGCUGCUCAUCCAACGGCCACCGCGCCAAAUGCCUUACAGACCCGGUGGCCCUGGAAUCGAUUCUGUAACACUACUCCUUGUGUGACCGUGGACAAGUCACUCGGUCUCUGAGCCUUCUUCAUCUGUAAAUAAGAGAGCGAGGCUAGAGAAGCCCAGAGCCAGAGUUUAGAAACCGAGUGCGAGGACACCUGCCCUCUUGGUGUGCACUGUGGAGCGCUGAGAAACGGCUCCAAUAACGCCCCGACACUCUUCGCUCCUACCAGUUUGGGGACAUGAAAAGAAUACGUUUUACAAAUUGGGGAACGGUUCAUAUUUACAUGACUUACCGCGGUCACACAGGUCUUCAGCAGAACUUGGUUCAAACUCUGGCAGUGCAUGUUUCAGUAUAACCUGCCUCAUCAUUACCCAGUGCUUUCAGAUGUGUUCUCUCACUCUGGUUUUUCACAAGCUGGUGAAGUAGGUUGGACGGAUACUCAUUGUUCCCAUCCCAUGCCUUAGGAAAUAAAGCACCGAAAGGGUGAAUGAUAGUGUAUAAUUUUUUGUUCACAACUCGUCCAACAGAGCUGGGUCUAGAAAUCAGAUCUUACCGACUUGAAGCUGUCUUUUGGAAUUAAGAAUAACACCUGUAUCUGGGCAGGUGAGGGAGGACCCCUCCAAAAUGAG